CCAUGCCCAGCUAAUUUUUUAUUUUUUUGUAGAGAUGGGGUCUCACUAUGUUGCCCAGGCUGGUCUUGAACUGCUGGCCUCAAGUGAUCCUCUUGCCUGUGCUGAGGACUGCAGUCGUGUGCCACCAUGCCCGGCUAAUUUUUUAUUUUUUGUAGAGAUGGGGUCUUGGUAUGUUGAUCAGGCUGGUCUCAAACCCCUGGCCUCAAGAGAUCCUCCUGCCUCAGCCUCCCAAAGUGCUGGGAUUAUAGGCAUGAGCCACUGGACCUGGCCCACUACUCUUUUUGUCUGUCUCCCCAGAUCUAUUUUUGUCUCUUACUCCAGGGCUCUCUCGGAGCUUCCCAACCCAUCCCUCUUGCCUCCCCCUAAAUCUUUCCAUCCCUUUCUCACGUCCCUCUUUCUUGGCCUUGUAAUGUCUGUGUGUCCUCUCUGCCCCAGGCCCCCUUUUCUCUGGAUUCCUCCAAGCUCCCCGCUUUCCCCAGGGACUCCUCCCCAGAGGAGGUGGCUCCAUCCCUAAUUCUAUUGACUCUACAGCUAAGAGGGAGCUUUUCCUCGCCCAGUUUCAAUUCCCUCUGGGGCUCUGGCAAGACAGACUGGGAACUUUUACUUAAGGGGACAGCACCCAUCUCCAGGCAGACGCUGGUCCUCGGGGGCCAAGCCCAGCACCCUCGGGACCUGGCAUCUUUCCGUCCACCCCCGGCCAGCUAAGUCGCCCUCUGCGUGCUCACUCGCUCUCAUGCUGUCAUUUCUUUUUCUUUUCUUUUCACGGAGUGUCUCGCUCUGUCGCCCAGGCUGGAGUGCAGUGGUGCGAUAUCGGCUCACUGCAACCUCUGCCUCCUGGGUUCAAGAUUUUCUCCUCCUCAGUUUCCCACGUAGCUGGGAUUACAGGCUCGCGCCACCAUGCCUGGCUAAUUUUUUGUAUUUUUAGUAGAGAUGGGGUUUCACCAUGUUGGCCAGGCUGGUCUCAAACUCCUGACCUAAAGUGAUCCCCCUGCCUUGGUCUCCCAAAGUGCUGGGAUUACAGGUUUGAGCCACUGAGCUUGGCCUCUUUUUGUUUUCUUCUUUUUUUUUAGAGAUGAAGUCUCGCUUUGUCACCCAGGCUGGAGUGCAAUGGCGUGAUCAUAGCUCACUGUAACCUCGUAUUCCUGGGCUCAAGGAAUCCUCCCACCUUAGCCUCCUGAAUAGCUGGGACUAUAGGCACACCUGGCUAAUUUCUGUAUUAUUAGUAUUAUUAUUUGUAGCGAUGGGGUCUCCAUAUGUUGCCCAGGCUGGUCUUGAACUCCUGGCCUGAAGCCACCCUCCAGUGUCAGCCUCUUAAAGUGCUGGGAUUACGGGCGUGAGCCACCACCACUGGGAUUACAAGAAUGAACCACGGCGCCCAGCCCUGUCUCAUUUCUUUCUCCAUGACAUCAGGCGUCUUCUGAGGUCUUGCAAGGGGGCGGAUGGGGGGGCAGCUGAGAGCAGGGAAUCACCUGCAUCGCCCUUCCCCUCCCUACUCCCAGAGGAAGCUCUGGCCACAGGAUGGUGUUGAUGUGACAAACAGCAUUUAUUCCAGACUCCAGUGUCCACAGAUGAUGGGGUGGGGCGGAGGUAGGGCGGGGGCAGGAGUGGGGGGACCAGCAGGGGAGGCGGGAGGUAAAAAUAGCUCCGGCCAGCCGACCCUCGGAGCCUUGUCCCAGGCUGGGCCUUGGGCUUG
rnacentral:lncRNA from 1 species